rnacentral:rRNA from 1 species
GCGAUACAGGGUGACAGCCCCGUACACAAAAAUGCACAUGCUGUGAGCUCGAUGAGUAGGGCGGGACACGUGGUAUCCUGUCUGAAUAUGGGGGGACCAUCCUCCAAGGCUAAAUACUCCUGACUGACCGAUAGUGAACCAGUACCGUGAGGGAAAGGCGAAAAGAACCCCGGCGAGGGGAGUGAAAAAGAACCUGAAACCGUGUACGUACAAGCAGUGGGAGCACGCUUAGGCGUGUGACUGCGUACCUUUUGUAUAAUGGGUCAGCGACUUAUAUUCUGUAGCAAGGUUAACCGAAUAGGGGAGCCGAAGGGAAACCGAGUCUUAACUGGGCGUUAAGUUGCAGGGUAUAGACCCGAAACCCGGUGAUCUAGCCAUGGGCAGGUUGAAGGUUGGGUAACACUAACUGGAGGACCGAACCGACUAAUGUUGAAAAAUUAGCGGAUGACUUGUGGCUGGGGGUGAAAGGCCAAUCAAACCGGGAGAUAGCUGGUUCUCCCCGAAAGCUAUUUAGGUAGCGCCUCGUGAAUUCAUCUCCGGGGGUAGAGCACUGUUUCGGCAAGGGGGUCAUCCCGACUUACCAACCCGAUGCAAACUGCGAAUACCGGAGAAUGUUAUCACGGGAGACACACGGCGGGUGCUAACGUCCGUCGUGAAGAGGGAAACAACCCAGACCGCCAGCUAAGGUCCCAAAGUCAUGGUUAAGUGGGAAACGAUGUGGGAAGGCCCAGACAGCCAGGAUGUUGGCUUAGAAGCAGCCAUCAUUUAAAGAAAGCGUAAUAGCUCACUGGUCGAGUCGGCCUGCGCGGAAGAUGUAACGGGGCUAAACCAUGCACCGAAGCUGCGGCAGCGACGCUUAUGCGUUGUUGGGUAGGGGAGCGUUCUGUAAGCCUGCGAAGGUGUGCUGUGAGGCAUGCUGGAGGUAUCAGAAGUGCGAAUGCUGACAUAAGUAACGAUAAAGCGGGUGAAAAGCCCGCUCGCCGGAAGACCAAGGGUUCCUGUCCAACGUUAAUCGGGGCAGGGUGAGUCGACCCCUAAGGCGAGGCCGAAAGGCGUAGUCGAUGGGAAACAGGUUAAUAUUCCUGUACUUGGUGUUACUGCGAAGGGGGGACGGAGAAGGCUAUGUUGGCCGGGCGACGGUUGUCCCGGUUUAAGCGUGUAGGCUGGUUUUCCAGGCAAAUCCGGAAAAUCAAGGCUGAGGCGUGAUGACGAGGCACUACGGUGCUGAAGCAACAAAUGCCCUGCUUCCAGGAA